AUUAUUGUUAUACCAUAUUUGGUCUAUCCGAUGACAUAUCCGAUCUUUGAGUAUAUGGCGGACACCUGAUGUCAUGAUGAGGACAGCCCGGGAUACAUGCCCUACACAAUAGCAAUGUCAUUAGCAAAGGAUCGACCACAUGAGGUCGGCACUUAGACAAAAUUAGAGUCAUUAGCUUUUGACUGAUUUAGCCUCAUCGCCAUCCCGAAUUUCUACAAGCUAUGCUGUGAUCCUAUAAAGUGGCCCACAGAUCGGAAACCAUAGAUAACCACUGGAGCACGGA
rnacentral:lncRNA from 1 species